UAGAGGCUGAUUAACUUAAUUGUAUUGGUAAACAUAUUUUGAAUUUCAUGCCUGCAACACAGUCCAAGGAACUGUCUAUGGGUCUCAAACUGCGGCAAGUCAAAGACCUAGGCAAGGACCUAAAACAAUAUCUAAUGGUUUGAGUGUUUCCAGAACCACAGUGAAUGAAAGAAGCUUGGCACAACCUUGCCCAGUCAAGAUGGACAUCCGGACAGGAAGGGCCUCAGUCAGUUAGUUCACCUCACUUGCACGUCUUUGGACUGUGGGAGGAAACCGGAGCUUCCAGCAGAAACCCACGCAGACACGAGGAGAACAUGCAAACUCCACACAGAAAGGACCCCAACCGCCACACCUGGGGAUCGAACCCAGGACCUUCUUGCUGUGAGGCGACAGCGCUACCCACCGUGCCACCGUGCCACCAGGGCAUUUUAAUAUUUUGCUUUAAAAAUAAAAAUGAAACAGAUCUAA